rnacentral:lncRNA from 1 species
CGGGGGCUUUACUGUGGGGAGGGUGAGUUGUUUUCUUUUGCUUCUUGUGCCUCUGAUGGUGGUCCUCGGACUUGUGUUUUUGUGGGGAAUAGCAUGAGUUUCACCCGUUUGGGAUGUCUGUUCUGGGGAUCUCACUUCUGUUCGGGUGGGGUUUGGUGAGGGGGAUGCUGGUAGGGAACUCGUUGUUUCCUCUGCCUGUUUCCGUUAUGAUAGGGACGAGCUUCCGCCGGCACCUGAGUUUGUGUCUUUGGUGGGGUUUUGUCGGGGGAGUCCUUUUGAUUUGUUGGUUGGUGUCGAUGCUGGCUCUCAUCAUGUGGUUUGGGGUGGUAAAGGCAUCAAUCGUAGGGGGGAGUACCUGUUGGAGUUUCUGAUGGGUACUAA